rnacentral:tRNA from 1 species
AGGUUUAGGUUAAACAAACCAAGGGCCU